UUUUUUUUUUUUUCCCUCUUCCCUAGUGUGUCACUGUCUGCUGCACUUUCUUGGAAAGUGUGGCUUCCAUUUUGAUGGUUUUCCUUCGUUACUAAGUUUUGCCAGUUUAUCUUUGUUGCUUUGAGAGCUUUAUGUCUUGUUAUUCGAUCUUCAAGAGCCCCAUCAUUUCUGGACCCAGCUUUUGGGGUUAAUCGUUAGAUUGUUGGAGGUUAUGGGGGGGGCAAGCUCCAGAGAUGUUUACAAGUGUACGCGUAGGUCCCCUUCUUUUCGUAGCCGUGUCUGUGAUAGCAGAAUGGCUUUGGUGCGUUCAAGAUAUUCAAGAAUUACCGAUAAGUAUAAAAACUUGAAGGAGGUUACCGAGGCUCUUCAACAAGUUGGGCUUGAGUCUUCAAAUCUUAUUGUUGGUAUUGAUUUCUCAAAGAGCAACAAGUGGACAGGUAAAUAUUCAUUCAACGGCUGCUGCUUGCAUGACAUUGGUGCUACUUGGAAUCCCUAUGAACAAGCAAUCAGUAUUAUUGGACAAACCUUACCACCAUUUGACGAGGAUAACUUAAUUCCAUGUUUUGGUUUUGGAGAUGCAUCAACACAUGAUCAUGAUGUCUUUAGUUUCUAUCCAGAUGAAAGGCCAUGUAAUGGUUUUCCAGAAGCUUUAUCACGAUACCGAGAAAUCGUCCCGCAUGUGCAAUUUUCUGGACCAACAUCUUUUGCUCCAAUGAUAGAAAUGGCUAUGAACAUUGUGGCACAGAGUGGUGGGCAGUACCAUAUUUUGUUGAUAAUUGCUGAUGGGCAGGUUACAGGAAGUGAAAACAGUGAAUCUGGCCAGUUAAGCUACCAAGAACAGAAGACUGUCGAGGCUAUUGUGGAAGCUAGUAAAUUCCCUCUAUCCAUUAUUUUAGUUGGUGUUGGGGAUGGUCCUUGGGAUAUGAUGAAGAAAUUUGAUGAUUACAUUCCUGAACGAUCCUUUGACAAUUUCCAGUUUGUAAAUUUCAUGGAGAUAAUGUCAAAGGAUGAGCCGCAAUCCAAAAAAGAGUCCGAUUUUGCUCUGGCAGCUUUAAUGGAAAUACCAUCACAAUAUACGGCAACACUAAGUCUUGGCAUCUUAGGAAGCAGUGCUGCAAUUUCUCCAAGAAGGACCCCUCUUCACCCACCUAAUGGAAGUUAUGCUGCAGCGUUUUAUGGCCCAGAUACUUUCAGAUCAACUAGUUUCCAGCAAAGUGUGCUGCAUGUUUCUCGAGAUAAUUCUAUACGUGCAUCAGCUCCACGUGAAGCAAGCGUUGUUUCCCGUAAUAGGAUCUGCUCAGUUUGCUCAAUGAACCUCAAAGACAUGGUGUUUGAUUGUGGUCACCAGACAUGCUAUAACUGUGGAUCAAACCUUCAAGCAUGCCCCAUAUGUUCUCGCAAUGUCGCAAAAAGAAUCAGGCUCAUUUAAGUUAUGCAGAACCUUAGAGUGCUCCUCCUCAAUUGCAUGGAUCAAAAUUCAUGAAAUGCAUGGGAGUGCCACUUCCAGGUUUGAACCCAGAACCUCCCCUCAGUAGGAGAGGGGUGCCUUCUUGCUGCAAGUCUGAGUGACCUCUCCUGCCCAAAGUUGCCAUGGUCAAGAAUGCAACGUGGUAUCAUAGAAAUUUGAUGUCAAGUUCAAAGAUGAUAGUAGAUUCUUCUCAAGCCCAGAUGUAUCAUAGCUUGAACUAUAAAGUCAUCCCAAUAUAGAUUGGCUAGUUGUGGUAGCGCUAAAAUUCUGCUUAUCAAUUCAGCAAUGCCAGAAUUAGCUGCAAUAUCUGGAAUGAUUUUGCUGAGUAGCCUUUCCUGAUUUGUCCUAAUCGGUGUAAGCUAGUGCAUGUAUUAAUCCAUAUACCCCUAUCGGACUUCGGAAGCUUUGUGAGCACUGGGGCAUUUUAAUCUGCAUGCUACUCUGAGAGAUGAGCUGAGUAUUUGACUAAGAAAUUUUACUAUGACAGACAAAAUAUAAUGCCUUGUUAAAUAUUCAA